UACGGAAGGCAGCAGUGGGGAAUAUUGCACAAUGGGCGCAAGCCUGAUGCAGCCAUGCCGCGUGUAUGAAGAAGGCCUUCGGGUUGUAAAGUACUUUCAGUCGUGAGGAAGGUGUUAAGGUUAAUAACCUUAGCAAUUGACGUUAGCGACAGAAGAAGCACCGGCUAACUCCGUGCCAGCAGCCGCGGUAAUACGGAGGGUGCGAGCGUUAAUCGGAAUUACUGGGCGUAAAGGGCACGCAGGCGGUUAAUUAAGUUGGAUGUGAAAUCCCCGGGCUUAACCUGGGAAUGGCAUUCAAGACUGGUUAGCUAGAGUCUUGUAGAGGGGGUAGAAUUCCAUGUGUAGCGGUGAAAUGCGUAGAGAUGUGGAGGAAUACCGGGUGGCGAAGGCGGCCCCUGGACAAAGACUGACGCUCAUGUGCGAAAGCGUGGGGAGCAAAC
rnacentral:rRNA from 1 species